AAGGUACUAGUUAAAUGUUAUAACCUCGCCUUGUCGAGGCAAAAUUGUGGGUUAAACUCCCACGUACCUUA